rnacentral:lncRNA from 1 species
UGUAUUAGUAAAUUGGAUGAAGGUUAUGGGGUUAUUUUAGAUUAUUUUUUAUAAUAGCUGAGCUCGGUAAUUGAAAUAUAGGUUUAGAGCUCAUUUUUGAAUAUUUUCACAAUAAUAGUGGUGGGUAACUUUUUAGAAAAUAUAAUAGAUCAAUGGCUAUGAUUAUUAGAGUUUACAGGAUUGGUGUUUGACGUUUUUAAUUUUUAUGAGAAUUUUUCUCUUUUUUCUAGCUUGUCUCGUGGGAACUAAUGCGGAGCCUCCAAUGAAAAAAAAAUAAGACUACAUUGCUAAAAAAACUAUUACCAUAAGCUAGCUCUCGUUUGUUAAAUAUUCGAACACACAAUGCUUAUGUAGAUAUAUACUUAAUAUCUUCAUCCAAUUGUGAUAUAUUUUAGUUAGUAAUUACUCUAUAAUAUUUUCAUCCACAUUUAUAAUUUUUAACUUUCCACUUUGCAUCGCAGGUAUGCGCUUGAAUUUGUUUAAUGAACCUUAAGUUUGAGAUACAAUUUUAGCAUAGAAAUCUAUAUUCUCAUCACUUUAUAUCCUUAUAAAUGGUGACACACAUCAUGCGUAUAGACCUUAAUUAUUAUAUCGUAUAACAAUAGUGCAAGAUAUAGAUGAUUUAGAAUCAUAUAUUGCUGUAUAUUUUAAAUUAAGGUUAUUUGAUUCAUACGUAGAGUUGCCUCAUGUUAUUUUCAAUAAUGGCAUGUAUGGGUAAUAUAGAUGCAAAUUUAAGGGGUUACUUUAAGUUUUUUAAGUAAUAUUGGUAGGCAAUUCAGUUGCAAAUUAGGGGGUUAUUUUAAAUAUUGUAUAUAAUGUCAUAUAAGUGCGUAAUUUUGAUGAAGAUUAGGGGGUUACUUUAGUUUAUUUUAUAUAAUGGCAGAGGUGGGUAAUUUACAUAUAGAUUUAGGGGGUUACUUUAGGCUUUUUUCAUAAUGGCAUAGGUGGGUAAUUUUUUAGAAAACAUAAUAGAUCCAAUGGCUAUGAUGAUUUGAAUCUAUCGAUUGAUGGUAGGAUGUUUUGCUUUUUUGUGAGAAUUUCUAGGAUUUUUUUCUUUUUCUAGAGUGUCCACCUAGAAAUCCUAGGUGACUUCACCUGGAGGUUUCAAAAGGAGCCUCCAAUUAGUAAUAGUAAGAUAGUUGACUUAAAACAUCCCAAAGCGUAACGUCUAUGUGAC